GAGACCCUCAUCACUAGUUGCAAUCGUUCAGAGUUCUGGGCGAGCACUCUAGUGAGACCGCCAAGGCUAACUUGGAGGAAGGAGAGGGCGACGGUAGGUCGGUAUGCCCCGAAUCCCUUGGGCUACACGUGGCCUACAGUGGACAAGACAAUGGGCUGCAACACCGAAAGGUGAAGCCAAUCCCCUAAACUUGUCCUCAGUUCGGAUCGAGGGUUGCAACUCACCCUCGUGAAGAUGGAAUCCCUAGUAAUCGCGCGUCACCAUCGCGCGGUGAAUAC
rnacentral:rRNA from 1 species